UUAAAAUUUGGUUAGAGUUUUAUUAAGAUUUGGUCUUAGAUUUAAUAUUUGAUUAGGAUUGGUUUAGGAUUUAAUUAGGAUUUAAUUAAGAUUAAAUUACGAUUUGAUUAAAAUUUGGUUUAAGAUUUGAUUAGGAUUUAGAAUUUAUUUAGGAUUUGAUUAGAGUAGAUUUUAAAAUUUUAUUAGGAUUUCAUUAUGAUAUGGCUAGGAUUAAUUUAAGGUUUCAUUAGGAUUUGUUAAGAAUUACAUUAAGGUUUGAUUAAGAUUGGUUUAGAUUUUUAUAAGAUUUUUUGAUGGUUACAUUAGAAUUUUAUUAGGAUUAAAUUAAGAUUUCUAUUUUUAUGAUUUUUUUUAUGAUUUUUUUAUUUUAUAUAUAAUUUUAAGGUUAAUUUAU
rnacentral:lncRNA from 1 species